rnacentral:rRNA from 1 species
UACGUAGGGACCGAGCGUUGUCCGGAAUCAUUGGGCGUAAAGAGCGUGUAGGCGGCCACUUAAGUCCUGCGUGAAAUCUUGCGGCUCAACCGCAAGCGGUCGUGGGAAACUGGGUGGCUAGAGUGCGGGAGAGGAGAGUGGAAUUCCUGGUGUAGCGGUGGAAUGCGCAGAUAUCAGGAAGAACACCGGUGGCGAAGGCGGUGGGCUGGGCCGGCACUGACGCUGAGGAGCGAAAGCGUGGGGAGCGAACAGG